rnacentral:rRNA from 1 species
UAGUCGAUGGGAAACGGGUUAAUAUUCCCGUACUUGGUGUUACUGCGAAGGGGGGACGGAGAAGGCUAUGUUGGCCGGGCGACGGUUGUCCCGGUUUAAGCGUGUAGGUGUGUGUUCCAGGUAAAUCCGGUUCACUUUAACACUGAGGCGUGACGACGAGGCACUACGGUGCUGAAGCAACAAAUGCCCUGCUUCCAGGAAAAGCCUCUAAGCAUCAGGUAACAUCAAAUCGUACCCCAAACCGACACAGGUGGUCAGGUAGAGAAUACCAAGGCGCUUGAGAGAACUCGGGUGAAGGAACUAGGCAAAAUGGUGCCGUAACUUCGGGAGAAGGCACGCUGACACGUAGGUGAAGUGAUUUACUCAUGGAGCUGAAGUCAGUCGAAGAUACCAGCUGGCUGCAACUGUUUAUUAAAAACACAGCACUGUGCAAACACGAAAGUGGACGUAUACGGUGUGACGCCUGCCCGGUGCCGGAAGGUUAAUUGAUGGGGUCAGCGCAAGCGAAGCUCCUGAU